CCUACGGGAGGCAGCAGUGGGGGAUAUUGCUCAAUGGAGGCAACUCUGAAGCAGCGAAGCCGCGUGAAGGAAGACUGUCCUCGGGUUGUAAACCUCUGUCUUUGAAGGAGAAAAUUAAGGUACCCAAAGAUUAAGCUACGACUAAGUACGUUACAGCAGCAGCGGUAAUCCGUCGGGAGCCACCGUAUUCCGGAAUUACUGGGUGUAAGGGGAGCGUAGGCGGGUGAGAAAGUUGAAGUUUAAGUCUACGGGCUUAACUGGUAGCUGCGUUUAAUACUUGUUGUCUUGAGUGCAGUUGAGGCAGGCGGAAUUCGUAGUGUAGCGGUGAAAUGCGUAGAUAUUAGGAGGAACACCAGUUGCGAAGGCAGCCUGCUGGGCUGUAACUGACGCUGAGGCUCGAAAGUGUGGGGAGCAAACAGGAUUAGAUACCCCAGUAGUC
rnacentral:rRNA from 1 species